rnacentral:tRNA from 1 species
GGGGUUGUGACUCAGUGGCAGAGUGCUCACCUAGCAUGUGUGAGGCACUGGGUUCAAUCCUCAAAAUCACA